rnacentral:tRNA from 1 species
AGGCGUGUAGCUCCAAUGGUAGAGCACCGGAUUCCAAAUCCGGGUGCUGGGGGUUCGAAUCCCUCCACGCCUG